rnacentral:rRNA from 1 species
UACAGAGAGUGCGAACGUUGUUCGGAAUCACUGGGCUUAAAGCGCACGUAGGCGGCAUCGUAAGUGUCGGGUGAAAUCCCACGGCUCACCCGUGGAACUGCCCGGCAGACUGCGAUGCUCGAGUGUGGUAGGGGAGAACGGAACUCCUGGUGGAGCGGUGAAAUGCGUAGAUAUCGGGAAGAACAUCGGUGGCGAAAGCGCUCUACUGGACCGCAACUGACACUCAGGGACGAAAGCUAGGGGAGCGAAUGGG